UACGAAGGGGGCUAGCGUUGUUCGGAAUUACUGGGCGUAAAGCGCGCGCAGGCGGUCUUCCAAGUCAGUGGUGAAAGCCCGGAGCUCAACUCCGGAAUUGCCAUUGAAACUGUUAGACUUGAGGAUGAGAGAGGUGAGUGGAAUUCCCAGUGUAGAGGUGAAAUUCGUAGAUAUUGGGAAGAACACCGGUGGCGAAGGCGGCUCACUGGCUCAUUACUGACGCUCAGGCGCGGUAGCGUGGGGAUCAAACAGG
rnacentral:rRNA from 1 species